rnacentral:lncRNA from 1 species
AUGAGAUAUGGUUUAAAAGUGUGUAACACCUCCCCCUUCGCUCUUUCUUCCUCCUGCUCCAGCCAUGUAGGAUGUGCUGGCUUCCCCUUCACCUUCUCCCAUGAUUGUAAGUUUCCUGAGGCCUCCCCAGCCAUACUCCCUGUACAGCCUGCAGAACCACUCAAAUACCUUGGCAGAAGGAUCUGGAUGGCUGAGCACAGCAAGUUUGCCCUUGUCUCGAUGGUGGCGUAUGGGGAGAGGCAAUGUCUGGCACCCUUUGGCUUCCUGUGCAGCAGUAGGUAAGGACUUGCCUCUCACCAAAGCACACAUGUGAAUGUGUACAGAUAGGAAGGAAAUCAGGCACUUGACAGCCAAACAAGAACAAAGACCAAUGUUUGCUAUUCCCACUGUAGGUCUUGUCACCAGCAGCAACGGCAAUACCUUUGAAAUAAUGAACUCAGUCUACCUUUGGGUUAUGACCCAUCCUGCUAGUUUCUUGCCUAAGGACAGAUGUCCCUUGCAACAGCUCUUCCACCUCAUGGACACCUCUCAUCCAUGAAAAACUCUACCUUCUCUCUAGCCAUCUGCUCCAUCUGUCUUUACUUUCUUAUUCAGCUUGGAGUCCAUGGCCGAUUCAUCAUUUCCAUUGCUCACUGAACUUUCCUUCCAUUGCAUGCAUCUGAUAAAUUCCCAGCUUUGAAUAGAAUGUGAUGCUCUUUCCCAGGUGUAUAGCAGAGUGAGCCAUCCUUAAAAC